rnacentral:rRNA from 1 species
UAGGGAAUCUUCGGCAAUGGACGGAAGUCUGACCGAGCAACGCCGCGUGAGUGAAGAAGGUUUUCGGAUCGUAAAGCUCUGUUGUAAGAGAAGAACGAGUGUGAGAGUGGAAAGUUCACACUGUGACGGUAUCUUACCAGAAAGGGACGGCUAACUACGUGCCAGCAGCCGCGGUAAUACGUAGGUCCCGAGCGUUGUCCGGAUUUAUUGGGCGUAAAGCGAGCGCAGGCGGUUAGAUAAGUCUGAAGUUAAAGGCUGUGGCUUAACCAUAGUAGGCUUUGGAAACUGUUUAACUUGAGUGCAAGAGGGGAGAGUGGAAUUCCAUGUGUAGCGGUGAAAUGCGUAGAUAUAUGGAGGAACACCGGUGGCGAAAGCGGCUCUCUGGCUUGUAACUGACGCUGAGGCUCGAAAGCGUGGGGAGCAACAGGAUUAGAUACCCUGGUAGUCCACGCUGUAAACGAUGAGUGCUAGGUGUUAGACCCUUUCCGGGGUUUAGUGCCGUAGCUAACGCAUUAAGCACUCCGCCUGGGGGGUACGACCGCAAGGUU